rnacentral:rRNA from 1 species
GGCUCAGGAUGAACGCUAGCUACAGGCUUAACACAUGCAAGUCGCGGGGUAACAUCUGGUAGAGCUUGCUCUUCCAGGAUGACGACCGGCGCACGGGUGAGUAACGCGUAUCCAACCUGACCCACCACUUGGGGAUAACCUUGCGAAAGUAAGACUAAUGCCCAAUGACAUUUAUAGCAGGCAUCUAACGAGAACGAAAUGUGAAGGGAGAAGGAUGGGGAUGCGUCUGAUUAGCUUGUUGGCGGGGUAACGGCCCACCAAGGCGACGAUCAGUAGGGGUUCUGAGAGGAAGGUCCCCCACAUUGGAACUGAGACACGGUCCAAACUCCUACGGGAGGCAGCAGUGAGGAAUAUUGGUCAAUGGGCGAGAGCCUGAACCAGCCAAGUAGCGUGCAGGAUGACGGCCCUAUGGGUUGUAAACUGCUUUUAUAAGGGAAUAAAGUGAGCCUCGUGAGGCUUUUUGCAUGUACCUUAUGAAUAAGGACCGGCUAAUUCCGUG